AGGACGAACGCUGGCGGCGUGCUUAACACAUGCAAGUCGAGCGGUAAGGCCCUUCGGGGUACACGAGCGGCGAACGGGUGAGUAACACGUGGGUAACCUGCCCUGUACUUUGGGAUAAGCCCGGGACACUGGGUCUAAUACCGGAUACGACUGCCUACCGCAUGGUGGGUGGUGGAAAGUUCUGGCGGUACAGGAUGGGCCCGCGGCCUAUCAGCUUGUUGGUGGGGUGAUGGCCUACCAAGGCGACGACGGGUAGCCGGCCUGAGAGGGCGACCGGCCACACUGGGACUGAGACACGGCCCAGACUCCUACGGGAGGCAGCAGUGGGGAAUCUUGCACAAUGGGCGAAAGCCUGAUGCAGCGACGCCGCGUGAGGGAUGACGGCCUUCGGGUUGUAAACCUCUUUCGCCCGGGACGAAGCGAGAGUGACGGUACCGGGAGAAGAAGCACCGGCUAACUACGUGCCAGUAGCCGC
rnacentral:rRNA from 1 species